GCCCCGCACCUGGUCCGGCCCCGCCCCCCCGCCCCGCGGAUGCUCCCGGGUAGCGGCGGCGGUGGCGGGGCCAUGGCGACCCCGGACAGCUGCGUCAAGGUGGCCGUGAGGAUCCGUCCCCAGCUGCCCAAAGAGAAGAUAGAGGGAUGUCACAUCUGCACCUCGGUGACACCUGGCGAGCCCCAGGUGCUGCUGGGGAAGGACAAGGCCUUCACCUACGACUUUGUCUUUGACCUGGACACGUGGCAGGAGCGGAUCUACACCACCUGUAUGGGGAAGCUCAUCGAGGGCUGCUUUGAGGGCUACAAUGCCACAGUGCUGGCAUAUGGGCAGACUGGCGCGGGGAAGACGUACACCAUGGGCACCGGCUUCGACAUGAGCAUCUCCGAGGAGGAGCAGGGCAUCAUCCCGCGGGCCAUCGGCCACCUCUUCAGCGGCAUCGAGGAGCGCAAGCGCGCGGCUCAGAGCCAGGGCGUGGCAGCCCCCGAGUUCAAAGUCAGCGCCCAGUUCCUGGAGCUCUACAACGAGGAGAUCCUGGACCUGUUCGACAGCGCCCGCGACCCUGACGCGCGGCACCGCAAAUCCAACAUCAAAAUCCACGAGGAUGCCAGUGGGAGCAUCUACACCACGGGGGUCACGUCGCGCCUCAUCAGCUCGCAGGACGAGCUGAUCCAGUGCCUAAAGCAGGGAGCUCUUUCCCGUACCACCGCCAGCACCCAGAUGAACGUGCAGAGCUCCCGGUCCCACGCCAUCUUCACCAUUCACCUGUGCCAGACGAGAGUGUGUGCCCGCCCGGAGCUGGUGAACGGGGAGGUGACCGGCCUCCUGGAUGGAUCCCAGCCUGCCACCGAGUACGAGACCUUGACAGCCAAGUUUCACUUUGUGGACCUGGCUGGCUCGGAGAGGCUGAAGCGGACGGGAGCAACCGGCGAGAGGGCGAAGGAAGGGAUCUCCAUCAACUGCGGGCUGCUGGCCUUGGGGAACGUCAUUAGUGCCCUCGGAGACCAGAGCAAGAAAGUCGUGCACGUGCCCUACCGCGACUCCAAGCUCACCCGCCUGCUGCAGGAUUCCCUUGGGGGCAACAGCCAAACCAUCAUGAUUGCCUGUGUGAGCCCCUCUGACCGGGACUUCAUGGAGACCCUGAACACGCUCAAAUACGCCAACCGGGCUCGCAACAUCAAGAACAAAGUGGUGGUGAACCAGGACAAGACGAGCCAGCAGAUCAGUGCCCUGCGGGCCGAGAUCGCCCGCCUGCAGAUGGAACUGAUGGAGUACAAGGCAGGCAAGCGAGUCAUCGGGGAGGACGGCGCAGAGGGGUACAGCGACCUGUUCCGCGAGAACACCAUGCUGCAGAAGGAGAACAGCGCCCUGCGCAUGAGGGUGAAGGCCAUGCAGGAGGCCAUCGAUGCCAUCAACAGCAGGGUCACCUACCUCAUGAGCCAGGAGGCCAACCUGAUGCUGGCCAAGGCAGGGGAUGGUAACGAAGCCAUCGGCACCCUCAUCCAGAACUACAUCCGGGAGAUCGAAGAGCUGAGAACGAAGCUUCUGGAGAGCGAGUCCAUGAACGAGUCCCUGCGCCGCAGCCUGUCCCGAGCCUCUGCCCGGCCCCCCUACUCCAUGGGCUCCUCCCCAGCUGCUGGCCUGGCAGGUCUGUGCAGCCCCGCCGUGCCCGUGGAUUCAGAGGCCUCCGAUGUCCUCCGACGGGCCAAGCAGGACCUGGAGCGCCUGAAAAAGAAGGAGCGGAGGCAGCAGAGGAAGAGCCCAGAGAAGGAGGCGUUAAGGAAGCAGCAGAAACUGCAGCAGGACAACGGGGAGGAGACGGAUGAGAACGAGGUGGAAGAGGAGGAGGAGGAGCAGGAUGAGAGUGGCUGUGAGGAAGAGGAUGGGCGCGAGGAUGAAGAUGAGGACUCGGGCAGUGAAGAGAGCCUGGUGGACUCAGACUCGGAUGCAGAGGAGAAGGCUGUGAAUUUCCAGGCUGAUCUGGCAGAUCUGACCUGUGAGAUUGAGAUCAAGCAGAAGCUGAUUGAUGAGCUGGAGAACAGCCAGCGGCGCUUGCAGACCCUCAAGCAUCAGUAUGAGGAGAAGCUGAUCCUACUGCAGAACAAGAUUCGGGACACGCAGCUGGAGCGGGACCGGGUCCUGCAAAACCUCAGCACCAUGGAGUGUUACACAGAGGAGAAAGCCAACAAGAUCAAAGCAGACUACGAGAAGCGGCUGAAGGAGAUGAACCGGGACCUGCAGAAGCUCCAGGCGGCCCAGAAGGAGCACGCUCGCCUGCUCAAGAACCAGUCCCGCUACGAGCGGGAGCUGCGGAAGCUGCAGGCAGAGGUGGCCGAGAUGAAGAAGGCAAAGGUCGCGCUGAUGAAGCAGAUGCGGGAGGAGCAGCAGCGGCGCCGGCUGGUGGAGACCAAGAGGAACCGGGAGAUUGCACAGCUCAAGAAGGAGCAGCGCCGGCAGGAGUUCCAGAUCAGGGCUCUGGAGUCUCAGAAGCGGCAACAGGAAAUAGUGCUGCGGAGGAAAACCCAGGAGGUGUCAGCACUGCGCCGUCUGGCCAAGCCCAUGUCAGACCGGGUGGCGGGCAGGACGGGCCAGAAGCCGGCUAUGCUGGACUCGGGCGCAGAGGUCUCGGCCAGCACCACCUCCUCCGAGCCCGAGUCCGGCGCUCGCUCCGUCUCCAGCAUCGUGCGCCAGUGGAACAGGAAAAUCAACAACUUCCUGGGAGACACCUCGUCCUCUGUGAACGGGGCUCGGCCUGCCAGGAAGAAGUUCCCCAAGAAGGGCUCAAGCCAGACCUUCAGCAAAGCCGCCCGCCUCAAGUGGCAGUCGCUGGAGCGGCGCAUCUUCGACAUCGUCAUGCAGAGGAUGACCAUCGUCAACCUCGAGGCGGACAUGGAGAGGCUCAUCAAGAAACGCGAGGAGCUGUCACUGCUGCAGGAGGCGUUGCUGGGCAAGCGGGCGAAGCUGCAGGCGGAGAGCCCCAUGGAGCAGAAAGGGCUGCAAGAGCUGAAUGAGGAGAUUGAGGUGCUGGGGGCCAACAUUGACUACAUCAACGACAGCAUUUCAGACUGCCAGGCCACCAUCAUGCAGAUUGAGGAGACCAAGGAGGAGCUGGACUCCACGGACACCUCGGUGGUGAUCAGCUCCUGCUCCCUGGCCGAAGCCCGGCUGCUGCUGGACAACUUCCUGAAGGCCUCCAUCGACAAGGGGCUGCAGGUAGCCCAGAAGGAGGCCCAGAUCCGGCUGCUGGAGGGGCGGCUGCGGCAGACAGACGUGGCCAGCUCCUCACAGAACCACGCCAUCCUGGACGCCCUGCGGGAGAAGGCCGAGUCCCACCCCGAGCUGCAGGCGCUGAUCCACAACGUCCAGCAAGAGAACGGCUACACCAGCACGGAUGAGGAGGUCUCAGAGUUCAGCCUGGCUUCAGAUGGGAGCAUCUCCCAGUCUUUCACCAUGAAGGGCUCAGCAAGCCAGGAUGACUUCAAGUUCAAGGGAGAGCCCAAGCUCUCGGGGCAGAUGAAGGCGGUGUCAGCUGAGUGUCUGGGACCCACGCUGGACGUCUCUACCAAGAACAUCACCAAGUCCUUGGCAUCCCUCAUGGAGAUCAAAGAGGAUGGGAUCGGCUUCUCCAUCCGAGACCCCUAUUACAAGGAGAAGGUGUCGCGCACCGUCAGCCUGCCCACGCGAGGAAGCACCUUUCCCAGGCAGUCUCGAGGCUCAGACACUUCUCCCCUGACGAGGCGGAAAUCCUACGACCGUGGGCAACCUGCCAGGCCUGCAGACAUUGGCUUCACACCUCCCUCCUCCCCUCCCACCCGCCCGCGCAACGACCGCAACGUCUUCUCCCGCCUGACGAGCACCCAGAGCCAGGGGUCUGCCUUGGAUAAGUCUGAUGACAGCGAUUCCUCUGUCUCGGAGGUGCUGAGGGGCAUCAUUAACCCAGUGGGUGGCACCAAGAAUGCCCGGACAGCCCCACUGCAGUGUGUCUCGGUGGCAGAGGGACACACCAAGCCUGUGCUCUGCCUGGAUGCCACCGACGAGCUGCUCUUCACGGGGUCCAAAGACCGGAGCUGCAAAAUGUGGAACCUGGUGACGGGCCAGGAAAUCGCCUCCCUCAAGGGUCACCCAAACAAUGUGGUUUCCAUCAAGUACUGCAGCCACACGGGGCUGGUGUUCACCGUGUCCACGUCGUACAUCAAGGUGUGGGACAUCCGCGACUCCGCCCGGUGCAUCCGCACCCUCACAUCUUCUGGACAGGUGAUCUCUGGGGACGCCUGUGCUGGGACCACCACCCGCACGGUCACCAGCGUGCAGGGGGAGCACCAGAUCAACCAGAUCGCCCUCAACCCCACGGGCACCACGCUCUACGCCGCCGCCGGGAACUCCGUCCGCAUCUGGGAGCUGAGCAGGUUGCAGCCUGUGGGAAAGCUGAGCGGCCACAUCGGGCCCGUGAUGUGUCUCACAGUGAACCAGACAGCGAGCAACCACGACCUGGUGGUCACAGGUUCCAAAGAUCACUACGUCAAGGUGUUUGAGAUCACGGAGGGCAUGGUGGGCAACAUUGGCCCAACUCACAACUUUGAGCCCCCUCACUACGAUGGCAUCGAGUGCCUGGCCAUCCAGGGAGAUGUCCUCUUCAGCGGCUCCAGGGACAACGGCAUUAAGAAGUGGGAUCUGGAGCAGCAGGAACUUACCCAGCAAAUCCCCAAUGCCCACAAAGACUGGGUCUGUGCCCUGGCCUUCAUCCCCGGCCGCCCCAUGGUGCUGAGCGCCUGCCGAGGAGGUGUCAUCAAAGUCUGGAACGUGGACACCUUCACCCCAGUCGGGGAGAUCAAGGGGCACGACAGCCCCAUCAACGCCAUCUGCACCAACUCAAAGCACAUCUUCACUGCCUCCAGCGACUGCCGGGUAAAGUUAUGGAAUUACGUGCCUGGGCUCACCCCUUGCCUUCCACGACGCGUCCUUGCCAUAAAGGGCCGUGCUACUAGUCUGCCUUGACCCUCCUGCUCUUUGACUCUCUUGCUCAUGUGCUCUUCUUCUGUCUCUCCUUCCCUUUUCUCUCCAUCUCUCCCUCCCUCUGUCCCUCUCACUGUCGGUUUUGCUCUUCUCUCUCUUUUUUCCCCUCUUUCUCUCUGGUCUGAGCUGCUUCUUCACGCGACUUGACAGUGAAGCUCUGGAGUGGGAGGAGGUUGCCCGCGGGGUCAAACUAGGAACUGCAGAAAGACUGGAAGGCUUGGGAGCAGGGUGAAGGUCAGGGUGCCUCCCCCUGCUAUUAGGACUCGCUCAUCUACAGGAGCACUCAGCCCAGCACAGGGAUUUCUUUGUGCCUGACCCAACGGGGUGGAGGAUGCCUCAUGUGAUACUUUGAGCACUGCCAGCUCCUGUGGGGCACUGGCAGCUCUGUGGGGCACUGACAGCUCCACCUUCCCUCCUGCUGAGGUUUCUCGAUGGCUCUCUGGUGACCAGGAAAUAUUUCAUCUCUCCUCUCACCCAUCCUGCUGUAAGGACUUCUGGGGGUCAGAGCUCCUUGGCUCCUUCUUGGAGACACCCAGUUCCCUCCUGCCACUGUGGGCUUGUGUGGCCUCUGCUGUGAUGUGCUGCUCUGGGGCUGGUUCCUGCAGGAGUCCUUCUCCACAACCACGAGGACAUUUGGUGUCUGCUGGCCAGGACACAAGUACAGAGGGUGCUUCUCUGGAGCCAUUACUCGUGGGACACCUCUCUGCUGUGGGGGCUGCAGAAGGAUUUCCUGGUACUCCUAUUCUUCCCCAUCCUCUGUCUACCUGUCCCCUGCAGUUGGAGGUUGGGCACCUCUGAGCUCCUUUGCCAUGUCCCAUCUUGGGAGACACAGCAAGCCUGGAAAGAUCUCUGUCAGGCAACUUCCAGACAAACCUGCUGCAGUUCCCUUCGAAGUUCUUCAAACCCCAGCUGUAACCACAACUGCCCCAUGGCUCUGGGCUCUUCCCCACGUGCCCACCCUGCUCUGCAGCGGGGAGGGAUGGGCUGCUCAGCCCUGCUCUGGACUCUGUGACCCCCAGCACGGGUUUGUGGGUCCUGCAGCGCAUUAACUCCCUCGAUGUGGAGAAAUGAAGCAAGAAUGGAGGUUACAGGGCAAAACAGCCAAGGCUGGAUUUGUCAACCCCACUGCUGUGGCAUAUCUGUCCUUCCCCUGGGCUCUGCCCUCGGCCCUCUGCCUGGGUUGGAGCUAGCUGAGGUUGGGCCUGCUGGUCUCCAUGGAUCUGGGGAUGGAGAGGGCCCAGCAAGGCCUGGAGCAGCUGGAGUCUCCUGUGCCAGGAGGAGAGUAAGGAGGGGGUUGCACACACUGGUCUCGCACAAGUCCCCUGACUCUCCCUGCGCUCGAAGGACAAUCCUGCAGCAGAUGCACAAUCCCAUCUCCGUCCAGGAGUGUUUCCCCAAGGAUGCACCUUCUCCAGCCUCCUUCCUCUCUCUCUCCUGUUCCAGGGGCUGGCAAGGCCCUGGUCUCACACUGGAGCUUCCCUCCGUCUCUCCUUUGGCCUGUUGGACCAUCCCCUGCUCUGUCCUGCCCUGGGCCACGCAGAGCUCUCACGGGGUGGCCGAGGAGGCUCCAGGAUGGGUGCUGCCUCACAUGCUCUCCUUUCCCCUUUGUCACAGAAGAAGCAGCACUUGAACUCAAAUUUAAGGAUUUCUCCAUGUGAUCCCACCAGCACUGAACUGGGAUCUUGGAGGCCAAGGGUUCCAGGACCUGCCCUAUAAAGCACAGACCAUUUCCCCUCUGCUCUCUCCAACCAUGGUGACACCUGGACCAACCCCAGGUCAUUUGCUAUCAGCCCUUGUUUUACAUAUUCUGGCUGGAGAAUGGGGAUUCCUCUGCAUCGUGAAAGACAGGAGCAUCUCUGUUGAAUUGAUGGGGGGGGUUUGCCUUUUGGGGGGAAAAUUCCAUCCUACUGACUUGCCUUGUUGGAGGGUGUAUGGCAUGUGUGGGUGUGACCCUGCCCAGGACAGUCACUGGUCCCCUGUGAUUGUGGCUGAGCCCUGCAUAGCCAGGACUGAUGAGUGUAUUGAGGUGAGGAGCCCACCCAUCCCGUGGGACCUGUGGAACUGGGGGCACAGCCAGAAAUGUCCAGGGCAGCUCAGCCACCCAGGAACGCACAGACAUGGGGGUCUGGAGGAUGUGUCACCCCCCCAAACCUGUCUUGGAGAGGGUUUCCCUGCUCAUUCCUCAGCUGGUUUAACCUUUGCUUGGCCAGAGGGGGGGUGUGUGUAUGGUGGGGUGUGUUUGGCUGUAGCCAGCUGUCACAUGUGCAUCCAUGUCUGCACUGAGAUCUGCCAGUGCCUGCCCUGAAAUCUCCUGCUGCUCCUGCUGAAGGGGAGCUCGGGGGGGCCUAGGGUCGGACCUGCCUUGCUUUUCACCACCAGUUUCUUCCCAUGUGCAGGCUACAGGUGCCUGUUUAAUACUCCAGGGUUGAGUGGCCAGUCCUGGAUGUGCUGAGCAUCCCUUGCAGCUACGGUCCAGCAGUGUGUUGAGGGGCUUCAAGGCUCCUGCUGCCUGUGGAGGGAGGGAGCUCAUACUGCAGCACUGGCAUCCCAAGGUGGGGGGUCUUUGAAGUGAGGGGUGUUGUGGUUUAGGGAUGAUUUUCUCCAAUUUAGUACUCCCACUAAAACCAUGCAUGGCUCGCUCCCCCUCCCAGUCCCCUGCUGUGGACUGGAGAGGAGAACUGGAGGCACAAAAGGUAAAGAUCAUGGGUUGAGAUAACAAUUUACUGAAAAACAUCAAUUAGGGAAGAAAACAAACAGUAACAGCAAAAAUAUUAAUAACAAAAGUGUACCAAAGAGAGUGAUUCACAUGCAAAAUGCUCACCAUGGAGCCCCUGACCUGACCCCCAGCCAUGUUACCUUGACCAGAAGAGACCCCUUCUCCCUGGAAGAGAAGAAAUGGAUUCUGCCCCUACAUAUCUCAAUGGCAUCAGGGUACAUUGUGCACUGGGCACUAAAGCCUUAUACUCUUGUGGGUCUGAUGUGCCAUCACAUCCACACAGUCCAGUAGAUCCCACUGCCCCUUUCCUCCACCUGGCUGGAGGCAGAGCCCCUCUAGUCUUGGGCACAAAUACUCAUUGCUCACUUCUUGUAAAUAUGAACUGGAGGUCCCUUCGAGAGGAUCAGAAGGAACAUCAACCCUCCUCUUCUGUCUGAGGACCUGCCCACUGGAAAGUGGAGUGGCAUUUAUCCUUGAAGAAUUUCUGGGAUGGUUGUUCUUCCUCUCGACUCAUGUACCCCUGCUGCUGGGGCAGAGGUGGGUUUUCCAUCCCAUUUCAUGUCUUCUCUGUGGUCAUGUAGGUAAAACCACAGGUUAUCUCAUGGUGUGUCCCCUCUCUCUGGAGCAGGGGGGCACUUGCUCCCAACAGCAGAUACUGAUCCACACUGGCAGGGCAUCAGACAUUAUAACUUGCUCAAGUCUGUCCACAGUCUUGGACAGUCUUUCCACAGCGGAGUUGCAGGUCAGUAGGGAGGAAAAAAGAUGAUCUUCAUAUUGCUGGAGUCAGCUAGUGACUGAGGUGCUGUUUGUUCUCCUUCUUUCACUGACAUCAAUGCCAACGACUUGAUGUAUGAUGAUGGUGCACCCUGUACAAACUUCUGCCCCAUGGAUUUUGUGCACUGGACCUCCUCUGGAUCUACAGGGGACUGCUUUUUAUUUGAAUCCCUGUAGAUUAGCUCCAGAACAGCUGCUUCUCUCAGGCACUGGAUACCUUUCUUUGUGCUGUUCCACUUGUCUCGGUGCACUGUUGGAUCACCCUUGAGAGAACACCUUUCCCUCACACUUGACAGUGGCCUCCAGAGGCUGAGAGUUUCUGUCCCCUUCCCAAUCCCCCGGUCAGUGCCCACAUCCCAGCACAGGGAUCCCAGCUGCUUGACUUCACUACUCUCUAGUUUCAUGUUGUGGGCUGUGAUACCCCAGCCCUGGAGCAGCCAGGUCACCAGGGGCUCUCCUGGUGACAGCUGAAAUCUUUUCAGGUACCUUGCAGCUCACCCAGAUGGGGAUCAGGUGAUUAUCUCUGGUCCUGCCUCCUCCUCCUGUUCUGAGGGCCCUCCUUCUCUUCAUCCCUCACUGUGCAAACUGAUUUGGUCUUGGAUUUCUUGUUCUGUGCAGGGGUGACUGUUACCAGCAUGGAUUGUUCCUCUGGCUCAGCUGCAGUUUGAGUGGCCACAGUGCCUGUUGCUCUGUGUUCCUCCUCCUCCCCCUCUAUCUGAUGCUGUCUGGUGACAAGCAGUGUCUGACAAAACAGCAGCCAGGGCCCAGCACGCAGCAAUGAGUUGCUCCUCUCUGGAGUUGCCACAGCAUUAUCCUUGCAAAUAUUCUGUUACUUUAUUAGGGUCCUGUAGUUGUUCAGGGAUGAACUUCCAAACCAUUUGAGCAGAGAAUUUUCCCCAAAACUGUCCCAUUUUUCUCCCACUUCCAUGCCACUCAUGACUACCCCUCCUUGGGGCAGAUCUCUGAACAACCUUUGUAGAAAUCUCUUGGCUCUAAACACAGCGUAGGCUGCACUGAGGAGACCUGGCAGGCUUAGCAACAAGAACAUGCUUUCCUUAACAUCCAAAGGGAAUUCAGAAGUCUCAAAAGCUGUCGUAACAGGCCUGAAGGAGUAAAAGGGGGUGAAAGGCUGGGGAAAAUCAUCCUCCCCUGUUCCUCCCCACAGACUGGGUACUGUUAUUAAUGGACUCCCAAAGGUAAGAGGAGGAGAGUAACAUUGAAAACACAUCCCAAACGACCUUCAUUGUGUUAUCAUGUCAUAAACUGAUAUCCCACACUACAUCAACAAAGCAAUUCUGAUCCCUCUCCCUGCUCUGAAAAAGAGCACCUUGAGGAGCACAGAGGGGAGUAUAUGCAGGGUUAGGUACCACACCCCCAUGAACAGACCAAGCAACAUUGUGACCAAUUGGUCUGUCCCCAGUACAGCAAAUGCUUAAAUCCAAUUUAUUUCCAACCUGUUCUGAGCAGAUCUGUUGUUAUCUCAACCCUUUGAGCCCCACCUUGGGUGCCAAAUAAAGCUGUCGUGGUUUAGGACUGGUAUUCUCCAAUUUAGUACUCCCACUAAAACCAUGCACCGCUCCAGGGUAGAGAUGAUAGGUUGAAAUAAGAACAAUUUACUCCAAACAGCAGUGAGAGAAGAAAACAAACAGUAACAGCAACAAUAUUAAUAACAGAAGUGUACAAAAGAGAGUGAUUCACAUGCAAAAUGCUCACCUAAGAGCUUGGCCUGCUACCACAGCUGGAAGAGAUGACAUUAGGUGGUAUAAAAUAACCUCAGGGUCCUGGCCAUGCCCCCUCCUGGCUACUGCGAAAAUUCACCCUGUCCUGACCAGAACAGGGGCAGGGGUGACUGUGAUCCCAUCUCUGUGUGUGUCUAUGUGUGUGUGUAUGUCUUAGUGCCUGUGUGGGGUGAUGUUUCCCAUGCAGGAGAGUGUUUCUGGGGUGUUGAUCUGGUUUAGCUACCUCACGGUGCAAGCUGGGUGCUGUCAUCGUUGGGUUUCGUACUGGGGAUGGGGUGGGGAGGUUUUUUUUCCUCUUAAUUAUUGUUAUUGUUAUGGUUUUGACACUUGAAUUCAUCCUGGGGACACGUGGCCUCACUCCCACCUUCCUGCAUGUCUGAGCCGCCCCCUGUGUCCCCCUACCUGCUUCCUCCUGGGCAGGGCACCAGGACCAGUGUCCUGCUCCCCUGCUCUGCCAGCUCCCACCUUUGGCAGUGGGAUUCCUGCUCCCCUGCACUGCCAGCUCCCACCUUUGGCAGUGGGAUUCCUGCUCCCCUGCUCUGCCAACUCCCCCCCUUGGCAGUGGGAUUCCUGCUCCCCUGCACUGCCAGCUCCCACCUUUGGCAGUGGGAUUCCUGCUCCCCUGCACUGCCAGCUCCUACCUCUGGCAGUGGGAUUCCCCAGCCCAGUUGCAACACUGAGAUUUUGCUCCCAUUGCUAGUGGGAUGUUUGGACUGAGGCCUGGCAGUGUUGCUGUUCAUUAUUGGGUUGAUUGGCAGCCUAGGAGUGGUCCAUCUUGCCCUUGGAAGGAUGGAAAGGAACCUCUGGAAGGUUCGGCUCAGCCCACAUUCCUGCCUCUGUUCUCAUGGAUAUUCUCUGUGGAUGCAGGGAAGUCCUUGUCUGGGAAAUGUCUGUGCAAAGCACAUUGCUGGAAUGGGCUGGUCCUAGCCCCCAUUUUCCAGAGCCUGCUGCAGCUGUAUGGCAGCAGGAACUGGGUGCUGUUAAAACCCUUGCUCAGGCUGGGAGUGGUCUGUGAGAAGCUGAUUCUGGUGUGUGAUGUUUGACUUUCCACUCCCAAAACGUAGCUGAGUCUAGAUCCAGUUCCAGGCACUGAACAUAAACGAGGGUAGCCCUGGAGCCCCCAGCUUGCCUCCUGCUCUGGGCUGGACCUCGUUCCCCUGGCACAGUGAGGUUUGGGAAGCUCUGAGCCACACUGUCAGUUUGGGGGGCAGGUCUGCCCAAACACUAAAGCACAAGGUCCCCACAUGCAGGUGGGUUAGGAGGGGUGGCCCCUUGGACUCUGGCCCUUCAGAGCUCAGAUUUGGGCCAUGGGCUGGGACAGCUGAGGAGAAGGUGGGCUGGAACGAGGGCUCUUUGCCUGCCAAUGGCCACGGGUGAGCUGUUCCAUCCCUUUGCUGGCUGCUCUCUGGGGCUCAGUUGUGCCCUGCUGCACAACUGAAGUCCCCUCUGGUGGUCCCUGAGCCUCUCUGACAGCCCCUUCAGGGCAGGGACACUUUGGAGCUGCCUUUGCCCCAUGCACCUCGUUCUCUUCACCCUUGGGUGCCUUGGUUUGUGCCAAGCGUGUGAUCAUACCUGCAGUCCUUCCUCAAAUUUCUGGGUUAUGGUUUUGUCCCUGGGGCCUGACUCUUGCACCAGGGGUCUCCUCACCCCCAGCACACAGGGGUCGGCUCCAGGCUCUGGGGGGGAGGCAGGGCUGCCCCAGAGCUGAGCUUUGCACAACAGGGGUGGACAAGACUCAGAAGCCCAAAAGCACUGGAUCCCCAAACCACUGUGAGCCCCUAUGGGAGCCUGAGCACUGUCUCCUUUCUGGCUCCUACAGCCCCCAUGGCACAGGAUGGGCUGGCCAGCUGUGACAGGAGCUUUGGGGUCCCAUCCUGUCCCCCCCAGGUACAUUGUUUCUCCCCACCAUCUCUGAGCACAGCUGCUUUGGGGUCUCAGAUACUGCCUCCUGCCUUGGUGCUGCCAAACCAGUGCCUGCCUCCCAGGGUGCUCUCCCAGUGCCCCAUCCCAGUCCUUCCCCUGCCCCACGCUGAACAGGGUCCAGGUACGAUCCCUGUGGAGCACAGGGUUCCAACUUGCUUUUCAGCAGCUCACUGGAACUUCACUCUGUCCUGCAGGCUGCACGCCCUCCUGAGCCCCCCUUCACCCUCCUGGGGAGGGAAGGGAACCCCCGGCCCCUCCAGGUGCUGCAUGGUGCUCACCUGUAACUGAGAGGGAGCCCAGCACAGACCCGAACCCCCAGGAAAGUACAGCCCUCUGCCUUCCUCCUGCCCUGGGGCGUGUGCCCUCAUCCAUCACAGCUCUGCCCUGGUCCCUGCCAACUGCUCCACCUGGCCUGGGACCCCCCAUCCAGCCCCACACGGGGCUGGGGAGCUGCAGCACCGUGUCGCCUGCUCCGCCACCCCUUCCUGCUGCACAAGGAGCACAAUAGCAGAUGCCUUUUCUCACUCAGAGCUGUUCCCAGAGGCCAGCUGCUGUGAAGGCUGGUGGUGUCUCUGGGGGGUUGUGCAGCCCAGCCCCGGUCUGGGUCUGUCAGAGCACGAGGUGUGUGCGUGUGUUUUAUACCUUGGUGUGUUCCUGUAAAUAGUGUAAGUUAUUGCGGUCUCCUGCUGUACGUUUUUCAAUGGCUGUGUUUGUUCUUUGCCUUUUUGUCUUUGCAAAUAAAAUGUUCUGAGAUGAA